UACGGAGGGAGCUAGCGUUGUUCGGAAUUACUGGGCGUAAAGCGCACGUAGGCGGCUUUUUAAGUCAGGGGUGAAAGCCCGGAGCUCAACUCCGGAACUGCCUUUAAGACUGCAUCGCUAGAAUUGUGGAGAGGUAAGUGGAAUUCCGAGUGUAGAGGUGAAAUUCGUAGAUAUUCGGAAGAACACCAGUGGCGAAGGCGACUUACUGGACACAUAUUGACGCUGAGGUGCGAAAGCGUGGGGAGCAAACAGG
rnacentral:rRNA from 1 species